GUUGAAACACUGGUCCUCGUAUGGUCACUGAAGUUAAGCAAUGUUGAGCCUGAUCACUACCUAGAUGGGUGACCACUUGGGAAUACCAGAUGCUGUAAG